rnacentral:rRNA from 1 species
UACGUAGGGAGCAAGCGUUGUCCGGAUUUACUGGGUGUAAAGGGUGCGUAGGCGGCCCUGCAAGUCAGAAGUGAAAUCCAUGGGCUUAACCCGUGAACUGCUUUUGAAACUGUAGGGCUUGAGUGAAGUAGAGGCAGGCGGAAUUCCCGGUGUAGCGGUGAAAUGCGCAGAGAUCGGGAGGAACACCAGUGGCGAAGGCGGCCUGCUGGGCUUUAACUGACGCUGAAGCACGAAAGCGUGGGUAGCAAACAGG